rnacentral:rRNA from 1 species
GAUGAACGCUAGCUACAGGCUUAACACAUGCAAGUCGAGGGGAAACGAUAUUGGAAGCUUGCUUCCGAUAGGCGUCGACCGGCGCACGGGUGAGUAACGCGUAUCCGACCUGCCCACCACUUGGGGAUAACCUUGCGAAAGUAAGACUAAUACCCAAUGAUAUCUCUAGAAGACAUCUGAAGGAGAUUAAAGAUUCAUCGGUGAUGGAUGGGGAUGCGUCUGAUUAGCUUGUUGGCGGGGUAACGGCCCACCAAGGCGACGAUCAGUAGGGGUUCUGAGAGGAAGGUCCCCCACAUUGGAACUGAGACACGGUCCAAACUCCUACGGGAGGCAGCAGUGAGGAAUAUUGGUCAAUGGGCGAGAGCCUGAACCAGCCAAGUAGCGUGCAGGAUGACGGCCCUAUGGGUUGUAAACUGCUUUUAUAAGGGAAUAAAGUGAGUCUCGUGAGACUUUUUGCAUGUACCUUAUGAAUAAGGACCGGUUAAUUCCGUGCCAGCAGCCGCCGUAA